GCUUCGUUAGCUCAAUGGUGGAGCAAUCGGCUGUUAACCGAAAGGCUGUAGGUUCGAGUCCUACACGGAGCGCCA
rnacentral:tRNA from 1 species